rnacentral:rRNA from 1 species
AGUUGGCCAAACCUCCCUGUCAAAAGCCUGAUCUCAUCUGAUCUCAGAAGCUAUGCAAGGCCAGGUCUGGUUAGUACUUGGAUGGGAGACCACUGGUGCAGAUUCACAGCCUUGAUUC